rnacentral:lncRNA from 1 species
AUGAUUUUUAUCUUUCCUAAACAAUUUCAAAACAAAUAUUUGACAUCAUGUCAUUCUACUUCUCAAUAUUUCAGUGUGGAACUUAAAACAGAAGGAGGGACUGAAAUAUGGGCCGUGUUCAGUGAUAUGCUCCCAAAACCUAGAAGUUGGAAAUGGGAAGUCACUUUACAAUGGAGAAGCCUAGUAAACAGCAAAGACUGCGUUGGCCAAGUGAUCAAGAUUAACCUCAACAGUGGAACUGCCUUAGCUGUCACAGGAAUGAGACCCCAAGUCAACCAGUUUGCACUAUGGGAUCCUGCCUGCUGGGCCAACUUGACUGGGAUUAAGGUAGAUACCUUGCCCAAUGCUAGUCACACAAAUUCUCUCCUCCAGGAAUUUGAAAUUGGGAGUGGCAAAUGCUAUAGUCUGCUAGGCUGGGUACUUGACCGUGUAAAUACCUGCAGCAUUGAUUUUUUUUUUUUUUGAGAUGGAGUUUCACUCUUGUUGCCCAGGCUGGAGUGCAAUGGCCCGAUUUUGGCUCACUGCAACCUCUGCCUCCUGGGUUCUAGUGAUUCUCCUGCCUCAGCCUCCCAAGUAGCUGGGAUUACAGGCAUGCGCCACUAUGCCUGGCUAAUUUUGUAUUUUUAGCACAGUCAGGGUUUCUCCAUGUUGACCAGGCUGGUCUCGAACUCCCGACCUCAGGUGAUCUGCCCACAUCAGCUUCCCAAAGUGCUGGGAUUACAGGUGUGAGCCACUGCACCCCACCUCUGCAACAUUGAUUCUUAACCCUGGCUGCCCCAUAGAAUCACCAG